rnacentral:rRNA from 1 species
GACGAACGCUGGCGGCGUGCCUAAUACAUGCAAGUUGAGCGCUGAAGGUUGGUACUUGUACCGACUGGAUGGGCAGCGAACGGGUGAGUAACGCGUGGGGAAUCUGCCUUUGAGCGGGGGACAACAUUUGGAAACGAAUGCUAAUACCGCAUAAAAACUUUAAACACAAGUUUUAAGUUUGAAAGAUGCAAUUGCAUCACUCAAAGAUGAUCCCGCGUUGUAUUAGCUAGUUGGUGAGGUAAAGGCUCACCAAGGCGAUGAUACAUAGCCGACCUGAGAGGGUGAUCGGCCAAAUUGGGACUGAGACACGGCCCAAACUCCUACGGGAGGCAGCAGUAGGGAAUCUUCGGCAAUGGACGAAAGUCUGACCGAGCAACGCCGCGUGAGUGAAGAAGGUUUUCGGAUCGUAAAACUCUGUUGGUAGAGAAGAACGUUGGUGAGAGUGGAAAGCUCAUCAAGUGACGGUAACUACCCAGAAAGGGACGGCUAACUACGUG